ensembl:lncRNA
GGUAGAUUCAAAGAUGCAGAUCAAAUAACUGAUGAAAGUAAAGCUUGAGUUAUUUUUGCUGCAAAAUCAGUGACAGCUUUGACUUGAUGGUGUGUUACUUUUCAGUAUUAGAAGGCUUUGUGAUGGUGGUUUGCUGAGGAGCCCACAAGUAUGCAAAGCUGCCUGAGAGUGAUGGAGAGUAUAACUAUCAUCAAUUCCUCCAGGAAGUUUUAGAGGCUGUUAUUGUAACACGUUAGUUAUAGGCAUGAGCUUAUGUACUAAAUUAAUUUAAAACCUGGAUAAACAUCAUAUUUUAGGUGACAUCAUUCUUAUCUUAACAUAGCUGCUAAAUAUUUGGCAUGCUGAACAAUGGUAGUUGUGAUUCAUAUACUGUAUGCUAUUGAGGCUAUGUCACUUGUUAUUGUUGUUAUAUGUUUGUUGUUAUUGUAAUCCCUAGAGAAGAAUAUUGUGAAGUUUAGGCAAGAUCGUUUCAUAAAUUCUCUGUUUUAAAAAUUUUUACCUUAUUUGUUUUGCACAAAAAUCUAGACUUGUCUGAUGUCUUGACGUCUUCAGAAGCAUCAUGUUCAUCCAUUGCAUCAACAUUGAUUUCUGAUGAUCCCCCAAGAAGGAAACCAAGGUUGAAGACCGUUCUGAUAAACAAGCAACAAAAAAGUGUAACCAUAUGACUGAAACAGAAGAACAACUCCACAAACUGCGGACCAAGAAUGCACUUGAGAUUGUCACUUUAUUUCAUUAUUUGGAGGACCUAUAUUCUUAGAAUGGAUAUGUAUGUAAUUCUUUCAGAUUGAAUAUUGAUGCAAAUUCUGUUUAACAGUUUAACUGUUGGUUAAUGUUUGGAUAUGCCUUCAUGUUUAAAGUUUUUUUUUUUUUUUUUUCUGCUAUUUGUGAUUUUAAGAGCACUUCUAUGAUGCAUUAAGUGGCUCAGGAUACCUGGCCUGGCAUAAAGACUGUAUACAGAGAAGUACAGGCUAGAACCUGGUGAUGGUUAUUUGAGAUCAUGGGCACAAACACCAGAAAUAAUCAUAGCUUUGUUGCU